UUAUGUUGGGAGUCCGGUGAACAGUCAGUGAGCCGAUGCCGCGUGGGGAUCCAGGCCGCCGCCACGCCACAGACGCACGGUGCGAGAGGGGGAAGCCUUGGAUGAAAGUGGAGGUGUGGGGACGCGUUCCACCGGGUCCUUGAAACUUGCUGACUGUGCAGAGCAAAUACUGUGAUGAUCAGACGUGAGACCAAAUGACCUGAAAAAUAUCUUCGCAGUUAUCAAAGAAUUAAAAAACCCUGCCAUACCAUCACUGACGAUCAUGCCGGCCUCCAGAGGUUCGUCAGCGAAGGUCUUGUAGCUGAUGCCGCAGGGUCCCUCGUGGACGUUGAGGAAGCAGCCUACACCGUGG